GCCCCGCUAGCUCAACAGGACAGAGUGCCGGCCUACGACGCCGGAGGCUGCUGGUUCGACUCCAGCGUGGGGCACCA
rnacentral:tRNA from 3 species